rnacentral:rRNA from 1 species
UACGAAGGGUGCAAGCGUUACUCGGAAUUACUGGGCGUAAAGCGUGCGUAGGUGGUUCGUUAAGUCUGAUGUGAAAGCCCUGGGCUCAACCUGGGAAUUGCAUUGGAUACUGGCGGGCUAGAGUACGGUAGAGGGUGGCGGAAUUCCUGGUGUAGCAGUGAAAUGCGUAGAUAUCAGGAGGAACACCAAUAGCGAAGGCAGCUCGCUGGGACGGUACUGACGCUGAGGCGCGAAAGCGUGGGGAGCGAACAGG